rnacentral:rRNA from 1 species
UACGUAGGGUGCGAGCGUUGUCCGGAAUUAUUGGGCGUAAAGAGCUCGUAGGCGGUGUGUCGCGUCGGCCGUGAAAACCUGGGGCUCAACUCUGGCGUGCGGUCGAUACGGGCAUCACUUGAGUUCGGCAGGGGAGACUGGAAUUCCUGGUGUAGCGGUGAAAUGCGCAGAUAUCAGGAGGAACACCGGUGGCGAAGGCGGGUCUCUGGGCCGAUACUGACGCUGAGGAGCGAAAGCAUGGGUAGCGAACAGG